rnacentral:other from 1 species
ACGCAGGUUUCCUCAACUGACACAACCGUGCAAACAUGAAGUUUCGCCCGGUCUUUCCGGGUCUUGAGAGACGACAUUUGUACUGAGAUCAACUCCACAAUUGGUCUACUGGCGGGUGCUAGUAAUGACUUUGUUGCUUCGUAGCGGAGCACGCAAGCCGCGGGAACUCCCCCUUGGUAACAAGGACCCGCGGGGCCGAAAGCCACGUUCUCUGAACCUUGCGUGUGUGCAACCCCAGCACGGUAAUACUGUCAUGAAACACACUUUAAGGUAACACUGAGACUGGUACUUGGUUUCUGGAGACAGGCUAAGGAUGCCCUUCAGGUACCCCGAGGUAACAAGCGACACUCGGGAUCUGAGAAGGGGAUUGGGGCUUCUAUCCAAGCGCCCAAUUUAAAAAGCUUCUAUGCCUGAAUAGGUGACCGGAGCCGGCACCUUUUCCUUUACUCACAACUUGUU